UGGCGAAGGCGGCCUUCUGGACAGAUACUGACGCUGAGAUGCGAAAGCGUGGGGAGCAAACAGGAUUAGAUACCCUGGUAGUCCACGCUGUAAACGAUGUCGAUUUGGAGUUUGUUGCCCUGAGUGAUGGGCUCCGAAGCUAACGCGAUAAAUCGACCGCCUGGGGAGUACGGCCGCAAGGUUAAAACUCAAAUGAAUUGACGGGGGCCCGCACAAGCGGUGGAGCAUGUGGUUUAAUUCGAUGCAACGCGAAGAACCUUACCUGGUCUUGACAUCCACAGAAUCUUGCAGAGAUGCGAGAGUGCCUUCGGGAACUGUGAGACAGGUGCUGCAUGGCUGUCGUCAGCUCGUGUUGUGAAAUGUUGGGUUAAGUCCCGCAACGAGCGCAACCCUUAUCCUUUGUUGCCAGCGGUUUGGCCGGGAACUCAAAGGAGACUGCCGUUGAUAAAGCGGAGGAAGGUGGGGACGACGUCAAGUCAUCAUGGCCCUUACGACCAGGGCUACACACGUGCUACAAUGGCGUAUACAAAGGGAGGCGACCUCGCGAGAGCAAGCGGACCUCACAAAGUACGUCUAAGUCCGGAUUGGAGUCUGCAACUCGACUCCAUGAAGUCGGAAUCGCUAGUAAUCGUGAAUCAGAAUGUCACGGUGAAUACGUUCCCGGGCCUUGUACACACCGCCCGUCACACCAUGGGAGUGGGUUGCACCAGAAGUAGAUAGCUUAACCGCAAGGGGGGCGUUUACCACGGUGUGGUCCAUGACUGGGGUGAAGUCGUAACAAGGUAACCGUAGGGGAACCUGCGGUUGGAUCACCUCCUUA
rnacentral:ncRNA from 1 species